GCAAAUAAGAAUAAGAUGAACCGGCGCAGAGAACACGUUUAUGAGAAGUAGGCGGUGCACCGAAAUGAGCAAACCCAUUUGGUUUGUGAAAGGUAGAGCAGAUGUAGGCUAGUGCACGGGCAUUACUUGACGAUGAAAUUGAUUCCGCGAGUAGCUGCACAUGCCUUGCUCAUAAAACUCACGUCGGUGUAGCAAGGCGCACUACACUUGAUCAAGGACAACCUGGGACCCCUUCGUUAACAAUGGCAUGCGCCAGUGGGC